AUGGCUACGGAAAGACUUUAAUAUGCUAAAUUGAUGUGUUGGUUGAGACAUGAAGAAAUUAGCUAUCAAACUCCAAAGAGUGGCGACAGACUAAGAGGUAGAUUUCCAAAGGUGGCUGAGAACCCGCUGGACAACUGGCCCCUAGUGAAAGGAAGGGCUGAGAGAGUGAAUGAGGCAGGGAAUUUGCCGGAUUCCUUUCCUGAGGGCUAGGGCUGUGAUGUGGAUUCCCACCUCCCAAGUUUGGCCGGGCCUGGGGUGGGACUCAGGGAGGGAGGGUGCAGGUGGAGCAGAGGAUAGCCUGCCCUCUGGCUCAGAGAGCAUGGGCUUCAACAACACUGCUCUGAGAGCUUGCUUUCUGUCCCCUGGAGUUUGAGAGGCAGGCUGACUGGCGGUGGGGGGCAACACAGGCAAUUGUGGCUUCUUGGUUCUGAUGAAGAGAGCAAGCAGCUGCUGCACUGGAAAGCAGCCGGGCUCCCUUGGACGCCAGCCGAAGAUGUUGGCCGUGUGAAUGAAAGAGCCGGUGUGUGAUCAUCUCAGCCCUGACCACAGGGCCUACCUACCCAGAGGGCCGAUGCAGCACAGUGGAAGGAAGUAGGAGAUCCAGAGAGGGAAGGCAUCUUACGAGACCAUCAGGACAGAGCUUUCCAAACCUCUUUCCCUUCCUAUGUUCAUGCUCUUACCUCAAAGUCUGCUGUGGGCAGUGAGAGAGGAGAGAAAAGGCUGACCACGGCACCAUCUCCAAGGGCAGGGGCUGUCUGGCCGGUCCUCACCAGGGGAGACGGGGAGACUUAACUCAAGUUUGCAGAUUCGAUUAUUACCUAGGUGGCCCUUCUGAUGACUGCCUUGUGACUGUGGGGACGUGGCUAGAAGGGAAUGAUCUCGCUGAAUACCUGCUCCUUCCAAGUGUGGCCUCCGUAGGGAGCUUGGGUCUCUCCUUUGUUCGCUCAAAGAGAUCCUGAGAUCUUGAACAAUUUUACUGGGCUUUAGCGCUCAAGGCUGAGUUUUCAUUUCCACAAACAAAUCAGUUAAAAGUGCUGAGCGCCGGGCGCGGUGGCUCAAGCCUGU